GGGAGGCAAUAACUGCAGUUCGACGAGAACCAUGGAAUGAGGAUUCGUCCAAAGGAAGUUGGGGAAAGUGGCGGACGGGUGAGUAACGCGUGAGCAAUCUGCCUUGGAGUGGGGAAUAACGGCUGGAAACAGCCGCUAAUACCGCAUGAUACAGCUAUCCCGCAUGGGGUUGGCUGUCAAAGAUUUAUCGCUCUGAGAUGAGCUCGCGUCUGAUUAGCUUGUUGGCGGGGUAACGGCCCACCAAGGCGACGAUCAGUAGCCGGACUGAGAGGUUGGCCGGCCACAUUGGGACUGAGACACGGCCCAGACUCCUACGGGAGGCAGCAGUGGGGAAUAUUGGGCAAUGGGCGCAAGCCUGACCCAGCAACGCCGCGUGAAGGAAGAAGGCUUUCGGGUUGUAAACUUCUUUUCUCAGGGACGAAGAAAGUGACGGUACCUGAGGAAUAAGCCACGGCUAACUACGUGCCAGCAGCCGCGGUAAUACGUAGGUGGCAAGCGUUAUCCGGAUUUAUUGGGUGUAAAGGGCGUGUAGGCGGGAGCGCAAGUCAGAUGUGAAAACUCAGGGCUCAACCCUGAGCCUGCAUUUGAAACUGUGUUUCUUGAGUGCUGGAGAGGCAAUCGGAAUUCCGUGUGUAGCGGUGAAAUGCGUAGAUAUACAGAGGAACACCAGUGGCGAAAGCGGAUUGCUGGACAGUAACUGACGCUGAAGCGCGAAAGCGUGGGGAGCAAACAGGAAUAAAUACCCUGGUAAUCCCCGCCGUAAACAAUGGAUACUAGGUGUGGGGGGAAUGGACCCCCCCC
rnacentral:rRNA from 1 species